rnacentral:rRNA from 1 species
UGGGGAAUAUUGGACAAUGGGCGCAAGCCUGAUCCAGCAAUGCCGCGUGAGUGAUGAAGGCCUUCGGGUUGUAAAGCUCUUUCGCACGCGACGAUGAUGACGGUAGCGUGAGAAGAAGCCCCGGCUAACUUCGUGCCAGCAGCCGCGGUAAUACGAAGGGGGCUAGCGUUGUUCGGAAUUACUGGGCGUAAAGGGCGCGUAGGCGGUGUGUCAAGUCAGGCGUGAAAGCCCCGGGCUCAACCUGGGAACAGCGCUUGAGACUGGCACGCUCGAGUUCGGGAGAGGAUGGUGGAAUUCCCAGUGUAGAGGUGAAAUUCGUAGAUAUUGGGAAGAACACCGAUGGCGAAGGCAGCCAUCUGGACCGACACUGACGCUGAGGCGCGAAAGCGUGGGGAGCAAACAGGAUUAGAUACCCUGGUAGUCCACGCCGUAAACGAUGAGUGCUAGACGUCGGGGCCCUCAGGGCUUCGGUGUCGCAGCUAACGCGUUAAGCACUCCGCCUGGGGAGUACGGCCACAAGGUUA